UACGAAGGGGGGCUAGCGUUGCUCGGAAUCACUGGGCGUAAAGGGUGCGUAGGCGGUUCGUUAAGUCGGAUGUGAAAGCCCUCGGCUCAACUGAGGAAGUGCACCCGAAACUGGCGAGCUUGAGUACGAAAGAGGAUCGCGGAAUUCCCGGUGUAGAGGUGAAAUUCGUAGAUAUCGGGAGGAACACCGGUGGCGAAGGCGGCGAUCUGGGUCGAUACUGACGCUGAGGUGCGAAAGCGUGGGGAGCAAACAGG
rnacentral:rRNA from 1 species